rnacentral:rRNA from 1 species
CCCUUAGAUGUUCUGGGCCGCACGCGCGCUACACUGAUGCAUUCAACGAGUCUAAAACCUGCUCUGAUAGGGGUGGGUAAUCUUUUGAAUGUGCAUCGUGAUUGGGAUAGAUGAUUGCAAUUUUUCAUCUUCAACGAGGAAUGCCUAGUAAACGCAAGUCAUCAGCUUGCAUUGAUUACGUCCCUGCCCUUUGUACACACCGCCCGUCGCUCCUACCGAUUGAAUGAUCCGAUGAAUAUCAUAGACUGAGAGUAUAAGCAGGUUCGCCUGUCUUUGCUUCUCGGGAAGUGAAGGAAAUCUUAUCAUUUAGAGGAAGGAGAAGUCGUAACA